rnacentral:rRNA from 1 species
UACGUAGGGGGCAAGCGUUGUCCGGAAUCAUUGGGCGUAAAGAGCGUGUAGGCGGCCAGAUAAGUCCGCUGUGAAAUCUCGAGGCUCAACUUCGAGCUGUCGGUGGAAACUGUCUGGCUAGGGUCCGGAAGAGGAGAAUGGAAUUCCUGGUGUAGCGGUGAAAUGCGCAGAUAUCAGGAAGAACACCCGUGGCGAAGGCGGUUCUCUGGGACGGUACUGACGCUGAGACGCGAAAGCGUGGGGAGCGAACAGG